UACGGGGGGAGCAAGCGUUGUUCGGAUUUACUGGGCGUAAAGGGCGCGUAGGCGGCCACCGCAAGUCGAUUGUGAAAUCUCCGGGCUUAACUCGGAAAGGUCAACCGAUACUGUGAGGCUAGAGUACGGAAGAGGCGAGUGGAAUUCCUGGUGUAGCGGUGGAAUGCGCAGAUAUCAGGAGGAACACCAAUAGCGAAGGCAGCUCGCUGGGACGUUACUGACACUGAGGCGCGAAAGCGUGGGGAGCGAACAGG
rnacentral:rRNA from 1 species